CAACUCAAUAAAAACAACACUCAUAUAAUAUCGGUAAUAUGGAUCGAUAGUUUCUACCAUUGGGACCGUAAAUCCCUGGACUAUGGGUGAAGUUAUUAUAUUA
rfam:Clostridium formicaceticum strain ATCC 27076, complete genome.